UAGCUUUAACACACCAUUGAUGUAUGCUAUUACACUUUUCCAGUGGAAGAUAACAAAGCCCAUAUAAAAUUUAAAGACAGAGGAAAAACUCGAUUUUCAUUUUCAUGCCCUGCUAUCUGGAACACUUCCCCACUUCCCUGCCAGAAGUCCUCUAGCUCUGCAUUAAGGAUCUUGUUGUCCCUGACUGACACCCACAUAUGGAACAUUUGGCAUGCCUCCAUGGCAACACGGGAUCCCUGAAGUUUAUGAAAGCGUUCCAUGUGAGAGAGGAUGCUCAUAUACUCCUGCCCCACCCUCCAAAGAUGUACUAAUGAUGCUAACUGACUACAUCCAAGGAGCCAGAGGAAAAAUAAUCUGAGGGCUGCAGAGAACCCACUCAAGCUGUCACUGCAAAGCUGGUCUUCCCAAGAGCAAAGGAGGAAGCAUGCAAUCUAGUUCAAGUCACACCUACUUCACUCUUAGACUUCUUCCUUCAAGUGGGGCUUCCCUGCAAACAGGACUGGUCUUCAAAGUCUCCCAGAGCCCCUCUAUCUUAGCCAGGUUGCUCAAGCUAAUUUUAUUCUUUCCC
rnacentral:lncRNA from 1 species